UCAUUCCGCAAGCUUAUCCUCUCAUCCUCUUCUUCGGAUCAAGCCAGUGAACCUUCUCAGAUUUCCCUCGCGCCCGUGUUCAUCUUCCACGUCAUCUGCAUCAUCCGAACUUCCUCAUCCAAGGAUCCCUCCACAUCCACGAACAGAGCCCUUCCGCAUCUAAAGAACAAGCUCACCGAUCCGGAUUCGUUCCAGAUUUCUCCCAACAGUCCACGGAUUCCUCCCAGCCAUCAGCCGAGAUCCUCUCAACUUCAUGAAGUCUUCUCCGCAUCCUUCCAUUAUCCACGAGAUGAAUCCCAGCAUCCCACAGUCAGCCGACCGUGUUUGAUCCGAGCCAUUGUUUCGCGUCCAAGAUCCCUCCACAUCCACUCGCAUUCAACCAUUCCGUUCCUUCCUCCCGUUCGGAACCAAGUCCCAGAUUUCACAGCAUCCAAACAUCUUCCCCUGUUCCGAAAUAGAAUCCGGAUUAGCUUCAUCUCCCAGAUCUUAUCUGCCGAAUCCUGUGGAUCAUCCCCUAGAUUUCCUAUUUCGAAUCAAGAUAGCCUUUCUCCCAUGGGACAAGCACCAAAUCCACCAGGACUUCAUCUUUCGGAUCAGCUCCCCAGCAUCCCAGCCCUCAGCCGCGUAAAGGAACCUCCCACAUGUUGAAGAAGCUUGGCUCCUUCAUUCCCUGGAUUCACGUCAACAGGAUUUGCUCCAACUCCGAGAAUCACCCCAGCUUCAACCGCAUCCUGCUUCAUUUCAUCCUUUUCCCCUACGAGAUAACAAGGGUGUGAAAGCUAUAAAAGGGGAAGCUCCACCAGGAGGAGAGCAAGCGGGGCUCACAGGCCGAAUCCCACAGAGUUCAGGAGGGGGAGAAGACUUUGG
rnacentral:lncRNA from 1 species